CGUUCCACUUUGGUUUUCGACUAAUAAUUACCAUGAUGAAUUUCUCUUACUGCUUGGUUCCGCAUUGGAUUUUGGAAACUUUUGUUUAGAAAGUGGUGUCACGACCGUGGGGAUCAAAUGGAUGGUUCAGGAAAGUCUAGUGAAGCGGCACGGUCUAAUCAUAUAGAUGACCAUAGUGGUAUGGUUCCAUAGAAAACUACUGGAGGCCAUUACCGCCACCGAAAUGGUUUCCAUGCUCCGUUGGAUGAUUUGACGAUAUCGCAGUAUCAAGCUAGAACGGUUUCAAUUUGUAGGACGGGAAAGAAACCUCAUCCUUUGGUGCACACUAACCGAUGAAGCUCAACCCUCUCUCGAAC
rnacentral:lncRNA from 1 species